rnacentral:lncRNA from 1 species
CACCACCACCGACCUCGAAGUACUUUGCAGCCGUUCUUUUAACAAAGUAGAGAAGACCGAUUGAGACAAAGAAGAGCGUUAAGAUAAGCUGCGUGUAGAAUUUCAGAUCCACAGGUAAUACAACUUCAUGCAUCUAAUUCACAAUCGUAGCUCCUUCUCUCAAACAUCGAUCUUCUUCUUCUUCGUUUCUCAGAUUGGAUUCGGAGAUGCCAAGAGAAUCUCCUCUGUUUUUUUGGUUUUUGCUCUGUGUUUAGUUUAGGUCCUUAAAGAAUUGGGAAUGGGCUUAUAAUAAACAACACAUGAGAAAGAGAGAGCCUUUAGCUUAACUAAUUAAUUAGCUUUGGACACUUUUAUUUAGUUAUUUCCUUUUUUUUUUUUUUUUUUUUUUCUCUUUGUCAAUUUAUAGUUAUUACAAGCCAACUACUAUUUUUCUGGAUCUAUUUACAUUAUAAGAAAUUUAAUAUUAAUGAUAAUUAAUUACACAUAUCAUGCCUCUUUCUAAAUAAAUGUAAGAUAUGAAACAUAUUAUGAAUGAUAAAUAAUAAUAAAGAACCAGAAUAAAUAUUUUUUAUAUAUAACCAAUUUCUUUUUUGAUAAAGUAUAAGAAAAAAAUUCAAGAAACAUUAGUAAAAAAAAAAUGGUAAUCCAGACGAUUUGUCUUUUUUUUUUUCUUUUUCUGUGUGUAUGUACACCUAAUGUAAUAACUCGGGAUCUCUAUUGUGGAUAUUAUACCUCUUUUACAAAUUAAUAAAGAAUUUAAGGUUUUUUAAAAAAUUGGAAGCAAUAAGUUUAUAUAUGAAGAUUAAUGGUUGAGUUUGUUGAAACAAAAAAAAAGGAUUAAUGGCAAAUAUAUAAAGAAAAAAAAAGGAGAGGAAAGGACUUAGUCAUGUAGCGUUGAAAUACAAUUAUAGUUCACUCAACCUUUGUCAAAUUAAACAAUUUAUAUGUGCCGCUUUUUUCAAAUUAGUGCUGAGUAGCUUUCGACUAAUCUUUUUUUGGCAAAAAAAAACUCAUUUAUCUCUAUUUAUGUGUUUGCAUUGCACAUUUUUUUUUUAUUUUUUUUGGAAUAGUAAAUAUCCCUUCUUAUGAUUAUUUGCUUUCGUAAUCUCUAAUCAUAUCUACAAUUUCCUUAUCUCAACACUCUCACAUCUGAUUAAUCAAGUGAGCUGCAUAUUUUUUUUUAUAAUCACCACUCAUGUUUAGAGUGUCACGACUUGCAAGUUCUUUUUAUUUACUGUUUAUGUGUUGUGAUAAGUAUAUUUUAACGUCGAUGUUUAGUUUAUACUGUUUUUAAUUUUGUUUGUUUUAUUUGAAUAGUUUUAUAAAUAAUUUUAAGUCAAUAUUGAAAAUAAAAAAUAUAUAUCGGUCAACUUAUGUUCACAAAUUUUUUAGAUAUUGUAGCUUUUAAAUCUCUAAUUCCUAUUCAUAAAGUCAUAAGUUUUGUAAAUAUAAUAAAGUUAAUUAUAGUAAAUUAUUAACUUUAUAUUAUAUAGUUUGUCUUAACCAAAAAUAAUUGAGCUAAAAUAGAUAAAAGCUAGGUAUACAUGAGUGUCAUAAUUGGUUUUAUAGUAAUUGUAUGUGAUCACUGGAAUAAAAAAAAAUAUAAGUAUCAAAUAAAAUUAAAAAUUAACAAAAAAACCUAUAUUGUAAACAAUAUUUGAUGUUCAUAAUAUCUUGUCUCAAGUAUCAAAUAGUAAAUUUUCUCUAUAUAUUUGUUUACAUAUAUUAAUGUCAGAAAAUUUGAUUUAUAAUAAAAUACAAUAUGUUGAAUUGAUUCAGAAAUUCACCAAAUUUCUUUCUCGAGUUCAAUUUUUAUACCAUUAAAAGUUUAAAUCUAUACUAAUUGCUUCAAAAACCUUGUGAAGUUACAAAUAGGAUCGAUAAGUGACACCUUCGUUGGUGUUUCUUUAAAUCACAAGGUGCAGAUUCUGCUCCUAACUAAACACCACCAAAACAAAGAUAUACCAAAAAACAAUAUUUUAAGAGUUAAGUUUGAUCAUACAACAGAGUGAACAUACUUACUAAAACACACUACAAUAGUACAGUUUUAGACCUUAAGAGUUAAGUUUGAUCAUACAACAGUAGUGAACAUACAUACAAAAACACACUACAAUAGUACUGUUUUAGACCUUAAGAGUUAAGCCGACCAUUGUUAAAUCUUACCUAAGAAAAGAGAGUCAAACAUUGAUUCAUGUCAACAUUAUACUCAUAUACAGUUUCAUUUUGGUUUAUAGGUUCACCUUGGAGCGAAACUUAAGGACACAGGUGGUCUCUUCUUCCCAAAUCAGCUCCAACUUGAUUGAUUCAUUUGCCUUCACACCGUUAGCUUCGAGGAAUCCUUUCCAGCCUCCUACCAGUCUUAGUCUUUCACU